rnacentral:rRNA from 1 species
UUUUUUUAAAAAAUAUUUUUUCUAUUUAAUAUAUUUAAUUAAAUUUAAAAAUUUACUGUAAAGGAUUAUAAAAUUUUUUAAAAGAAAUUCAAUGUUCCUUUAGUAUCAGGAAUUUUUUAAUUUUAUUAUUUAAUUAAAUUUCCUGAAAGGAAAUCAACUAUAAAUUUACUAAAAUGAUAUUACAUAAUCAAAAUAAUAAAUUUAUUGAAAUCAAACGUUAUUCGAAUUUCCUAAUAUCCGGUUUUUUGAAAAAUUAAUUUAUAUUUAAUUUUAUAUAGAUAAAUAUAUAAAAAAAUUUUACAAACAUUUAAAUUUUUAAAGGAAUAACAGUAUCCAUAAAGUUUUAAAACUAAUAAAAAUAAAAAUUAAAAUUUUAUUAUCAAAAUAUCAUUUCCUAAAAAUAUUAAUAAAAAUAUCAGUAGAAUAUAAAUAUAACUUUUAAUAUAAAAUUUCAUAAUUUUUUUUUAUUUUUAAAUUAAUAACUAAGCAAUAAAUUAAAUGACUGUUUACCAAAAACAUUUCUAAUAUAAUUAUAUAUAUUAUUAGUAAUACCUGCUCAAUGUUAAAAUCAAUAGCCGCAGGAAUUUUACUGUGCUAAGGUAGCAUAAUCACUAGCCUUUUAAUUGAAGGCUUGUAUGAAAGGUACAACAUUUUAAUUUCUUUUUUAUUUAAAUUUUUCAAAACUAUAUUAAACAUAAAAAUAUGUUUAUAUAUUAAAUAGACGACAAGACCCUAUUGAACUUUACUGUAGUUUAGCUGGGGCAGCUAUUUAAUUAAUAUUUUAAUAUACUAAUAUAUAUAUAUUUAUAUAAUUAAUGACCCAAUAUUAUUUGAUUGUAUGAAUUAAGUUACCAUAGGGAUAACAGCGUAAUUUUUUUUUAAAGCUCAUAUUAAAAAAAAAGAUUGCGACCUCGAUGUUGAAUUAUUGUUACAAAUUAUACGCAAUAGUAUAUAUUGUAGGUCUGUUCGACCUUUAAAACAUUACAUGAUUUGAGUUCAAAUCGGCGUAAGCCAGAUUGGUUUCUAUCUUUUACAAAAUUUAUUUAGUACGAAAGGACCAAUAAAU